GUGCCAGCCGCCGCGGUAAUACGGAGGAUGCAAGCGUUAUCCGGAAUGAUUGGGCGUAAAGGGUCCGCAGGUGGCAUUGUAAGUCUGCUGUUAAAGAGUUUGGCUCAACCAAAUAAGAGCAGUGGAAACUACAAAGCUAGAGUGUGGUCGGGGCAGAGGGAAUUCCUGGUGUAGCGGUGAAAUGCGUAGAUAUCAGGAAGAACACCAGUGGCGAAGGCGCUCUGCUAGGCCGAGACUGACACUGAGGGACGAAAGCUAGGGGAGCGAAUGGGAUUAGAUACCCCAGUAGUCCUAGCCGUAAACGAUGGAUACUAGGCGUAGCUCGUAUCGACCCGAGCUGUGCCGGAGCUAACGCGUUAAGUAUCCCGCCUGGGGAGUACGCAGGCAACUGUGAAACUUAAAUGAAUUGACGGGG
rnacentral:rRNA from 1 species